rnacentral:tRNA from 2 species
UCUAAGGAUGAUCCUUCAGCGAGCUCACGCUCACUAUCGGAUCGUUUUAGAAACAUCAGUGGCCAACAGAUCGCCAGAUCGUUGAGCUGCAUUGGCGGGAUUUCGCCGUCUUCGUUUCUCUUUCUUCGCGGACGAACACGCGCUGGGCCUGCAACGGCAGGAUCCAGGGUCCUUAACGGGAUGUGCGUUAGGGGCUUGUAGCUCAGUUGGUUAGAGCGCGCGCUUGAUAAGCGUGAGGUCGGAAGUUCAAGUCUUCCCAGGCCCACCACUUUCAUCGAGUGUGCAUUCGUCUUCUGGUUACGGGGCCAUAGCUCAGCUGGGAGAGCGCGUGCUUUGCAAGCAUGAGGUCGUCGGUUCGAUCCCGUCUGGCUCCACCAGAUGGUUUGAUCACCGAGAUCUUGUACCGUCGUCCGCGAAACAUCACUUCGCAUCCUGCUAGUCUGGAUAGACAGCAAGAUGCGUGUUUUCUGACAUCGUAAAGAGGAGAUCGAUCCGAGUUGGGUCGUGUAGCAGAUUGCUGCGCGAGCCUUCAUUAUCUCCGGAUCAUUUUCGGCGCUCGCGUCCGACCGCAAGGUUGGCUGCGAGUUGUAAAAUGAUCCUUUUAGCGAAGCUUGACCGCCUCGCUAUCGGAACGAUCUUACGAAGCAAGCUGGUCUUUCUAGUCAAUGUCCGGCUGUACGUAGCGUUCAUCGAGGGCGCGCGCCGCAAGGCAAUCGUACAGACAACAUUCUGCCGAGUGUGUGGACAUUGAUAAUGAGAGC